rnacentral:lncRNA from 1 species
AUUUAUCGUGUAAUUUCUCUUCGGUAUCUGGUGGUCUCUUGUUCUUCAAUUUCUUUGUCAAGUAUUGUGUCGACCUCUCUUUAUUUUUAUCCUUUGCAAUUAUAUUGAUGUUGUUGCAGACUUGCUACACCCGCGAACCCUUUUUUCCUUGUAUCUUGUUUUUUGUUAUUUUUUGUAAAUGUAGAUGGAAUUGUGAGGAUUGACUAAGAGCUAGUUCUACCCAUUUGCUGGAUCUUUGUAAAUUCUUGUGUGUUUCCCUAUUGCUGUUUCUGUUGUACACAAAGCACUAUAGGAAUUUUACGACUGGCAAAAAGAAUUCAAUUCGCAAGGUCUAUAAGUAAUUACAGUUCAUAUUUACAGCUGUUUUUUUUUUCUUUCCUUUCUUUUAUUGUGUAACAAAGCAUUAUCUGGAAUAUUCCUUACGACAGGCAAAAGGAGUUUAAUAGUUGCUCUAUAGAAUUUCCAAGGUCUAUAUGUGUAAUUACAUUUAAUAUUUACAGCAGUUCUUAAUACUUACCUUUUCAACAACAAAAAAGAGGUCGCAGCAGUUCUUUCUCUUUUUCUUUUUUUUUCUUUUAUGUUUUUGGUUUGGGCAUUGGCCACUCACUAAGAUAAGGUUUAGGUUUGAAGGGGAAACCUAAACCUAUGCUGGUUGUAUUUCAAUAAGUAUUCAUGUUAUCUAUUAACUAUGCACUAUGAUUUUUUUCUGUCACAAUUGAUUUUGGAUAAUCUUAACAAACUCUCUUU